rnacentral:rRNA from 1 species
UACGUAGGGUGCAAGCGUUAAUCGGAAUUACUGGGCGUAAAGCGUGCGCAGGCGGUUAUGUAAGACGGAUGGGAAAUCCCCGGGCUCAACCUGGGAACUGCAUUUGUGACUGCAUAGCUAGAGUACGGUAGAGGGGGAUGGAAUUCCGCGUGUAGCAGUGAAAUGCGUAGAUAUGCGGAGGAACACCGAUGGCGAAGGCAAUCCCCUGGACCUGUACUGACGCUCAUGCACGAAAGCGUGGGGAGCAAACAGG